GAGAAACUCCAAAACAUCCAGCAAUGCUCCAUCACCAUGAUCCCUGUCCUCCUCCUCACCCCCCCGUCCCGACCGCGCUGUGUGUCCGCAGAGCACUGAGAGUCCAGCUCCUCCAGGACUCCGGCUCCUCUCCGACAGGGACCUGCAGCCUCGUGCCGGAGGCCAGCCUGAGGCCCUGCUCCCAUGUGCUGUCAGUGUGUUAAGGGUCUUUCUCUGUCAUGUGUCUGCUCUGAAGAUAUACAAGAGAUAAAAAAGCUUGAAACAAAAUCAGUUUGUUUUCCAGCACGGGUAUCUAAGGAAGGGUUCCUUUUCAAGAAAAAAGAAACUCUUGUAGAAGUGAAGGAUAACAGGCUUGUAUUGGCUCCUGAUACAAUCAUCUGGGACAAGACUGGGCACUUCUGUAUCAUAAACCUGAGCAAGGAACAUAGUGGGGAAUACACUGUCAACAAUAAAGAACCAAAGACAGAAACAAAAUAUAAUCUCUUAGUUUACGGUCCUGUGUCAACGCCAAGAGUCCAGGCCGCUCAGAACACACUCUGCUCUCUGCUGUGUUCAGUGGAGAACGGGAGAGAGGUCACCCUGUUCUGGCACAGAAAGGGACAGGACCAACCUGUGAACCGCAGCUCCUCUUCUACCAGCUCCAAUCUGACUCUCCUUCUUGAGAUAGAGGAUCUGACUGUCUCCUACACCUGCUCUGUCAGUAACCCUGUCAGCAGUAAUAGGGCUGAAGUCAACCCUUACAACUACUGCGCUGGUGAGCCCCUGGAAAGAUCAGCUUCUU